rnacentral:tRNA from 1 species
GGGAUUGUUGCUCAGUAGUAGAGCACUUGCCUGGCAUGUGUGAGGCACUGGGUUCAAUUCUCAGCACCA